CGGACCGAGCCCCGCGCCGCCUCUCCUGCCCCUUUCUCGGCAGAUGUGGAGCGGAAAGCCCAGCUCCAUUUGUGCCGUGCCGUGCCGGACGGGGGGGCCGGAGCGAUGGGCAGCCAGCCCGGGACAAGGGAGAGGGGUCGGCGGGGAAGGGAGCCGCGUGCUGCCCGGGGAAGGGCCACGAGGCACUUGCUGUACUUGGGACUACGCCGGUUUCCUUGGUGGUUUCACUAGAAUGAUCCGUUGGCUUCAGUAAAUAAUACUGUGAAUAACAAUAAAUCUUCCGGUGCAGUGAGCUACUACCCAGGCCGUGUAACCCUCGUACCUUGAUGUAGUUGUAUAGGCCAUGGUUAAUGCUGGUUUAAACUCGCACUUGGAAGUUGUUUUCAGGUCUAUACAGCUACGAACUAAUGCUCCAGCUUCCUUUGAGGAUAGAUGAGGAGCCCGUUCCUGCACGCUCUGGUGGACUUGCAGCUUGCCGGCUGGUAUUGGACUAAUGGGUCGAUUUUACAUCAAAGUGAGUCAGCAAAACUCAGGGCCUUCAAGAGGCGCUGCAUCCCUGAAGGCAGACAUACGCAUCUGAAAGAGAAGCAGAGGAUGUCCGGUCUCAUGAACACAUGAACAUUUUCUUUUUCUUGUAAGAAAAGGGGUCAGGAAUGAAGAACAGACAGAAGCGCUAUCCAGUCAGGCAGUGCUUAAUGCGGAAAGUACGGGUGAGGCAAAAGAGGCUGCAGGCCAUCUCUCUGCUGCUGCUUUCUGGCCCCAGCCCUGUGAUACCCUUGAACCUGCAGCUCCCAAUGAACUCUACAGGGACUGCUGAGGGUCAGCACAUCUGAAAUACAGCCACCGUUUGGGAACCGGCAUAAGGAUUUAGGAGUGUAACAUGGAUCCAAGUCUGAAGCAUCUGCUACUAAUGUUUGUCUCCUAAAUUGGACCAUAUACUAUGGGUUUGUAUUUAACAUGCGUUACCAUUAAAUGGAUUUACAUUGUGCAUUGCUCCAUGUAUUUUCUGUGUCACAGAAGAAAAGACCCCAUUAUCAUACUUGGUUAGAAGCAAGGCUAAGGUGUUUGAAACUUCAAUUCUGAAUUUAUUUGCCCUUUCUGCAAUAAAGAUCUGACAGGGGCCCUUUGUACUGCCUGGCAUGUGAGACUGGAGCUAAAAAUCAAAGACUAUGGCAGUGUAUCAGUGAAUGACAACUAUGAAAUAAUGUAAUAGUUGUUUCAGGUUUAGUGUUACAGAUUUAAUGUUACCCAAAGCAUAAUACUUGCUAUACGUAUCAUUCUAGUGUGAGAAAGAGAACAUUUUUGCCUUAAAAGACAACUGUAAAGAGCUUAAUGAAGCCAAAUACGUACAAGCCUUUCAGGAACCACCAUGCAUCUUAGGAAUAGCAACUAGAAGUCACCUAAACUCCAAAGAGUGGUGGGAUUCCACUGGAGCAGCUGCCCCCCCAAGACCUCUAAGACACUCUGCUUCUGCAAGGCCUGGAAGAAGGUAGAAGGUGUUCCUAAGAUACUCUGUUUCUGCCCCCCAAGACUCCUAAGAUACACUCUGCUUCUGCAAGACUUGGAAGAAGGUAGUAGGAAGGACCCCAGCCACAUGGAACUCAGCUCCACAGGAGCAAAGCUGCAGCCACAUCUGCCAGCCUCCACCAGCCCCCUCUGAAACAGUGCUUCAGCCACUGCUAUUCGGGGCAGCAGGGACAACAGCAUGCCUAAGAGUUACCUACCCAACCACACUUUGAAAGGAAAGAGACAAUCUCAGCUCUGUACCUCCCACUGUGUUUUUAAGGAAAGCAAUAUAGGAUCAAAUCUAAGAAAUUCACAGAACUCCUUGGAGGAAUUAAAAAUAUGCAUCUGAACACGAAAAAGUGCCAGCUGAAGCAUGACUGUGGUGUAAGGACUCAAUCAGGAGGAGAAAAAUGAUGAGAAGUGCAGAUUUCCUUGUGAAGGUAGGUAUUGUCAACCAUCAUUGAUGUCACCUCAGCCAAAAAGAUGCAUGAUCUGGGCUUCAGUGUGGCUUUAGGAUUGUGUAGUUUUUAUGGAACUGACAUGCUUU